CCAAUAGCGUAUAUUAAAGUUGUUGCAGUUAAAAAGCUCGUAGUUGAAUUUCGGAAGCAGUACGCCGGUCGUGCCUCCGGUAUGCACUGGUGUCACUGGUUCCUCCCUUCUGAAGAUCCAUCAUGCCAUUUACUUGGUGUGGUGAGGAAUCAGGACUGUUACUUUGAAAAAAUUAGAGUGUUUAAAGCAGGCUCACGCUUGAAUACAUUAGCAUGGAAUAAUGAAAUAGGACGUUGAUCUUAUUUUGUUGGUUUCUAGGAUUGACGUAAUGAUUAAUAGGGAUAGUUGGGGGCAUUAGUAUUCAAUUGUCAGAGGUGAAAUUCUUGGAUUUAUUGAAGACUAACUACUGCGAAAGCAUUUGCCAAGGAUGUUUUCAUUAAUCAAGAACGAAAGUUAGGGGAUCGAAGACGAUCAGAUACCGUCGUAGUCUUAACCAUAAACUAUGCCGACUAGGGAUCGGAUGAUGUUAUUUUUUUAUGACUCAUUCGGCGCCUUACG
rnacentral:rRNA from 1 species